GACGAACGCUGGCGGCGUGCCUAAUACAUGCAAGUAGAACGCUGAAGGAGGAGCUUGCUUCUCCGGAUGAGUUGCGAACGGGUGAGUAACGCGUAGGUAACCUGCCUGGUAGCGGGGGAUAACUAUUGGAAACGAUAGCUAAUACCGCAUAAGAGUAGAUGUUGCAUGACAUUUACUUAAAAGGUGCAAUUGCAUCACUACCAGAUGGACCUGCGUUGUAUUAGCUAGUUGGUGAGGUAACGGCUCACCAAGGCGACGAUACAUAGCCGACCUGAGAGGGUGAUCGGCCACACUGGGACUGAGACACGGCCCAGACUCCUACGGGAGGCAGCAGUAGGGAAUCUUCGGCAAUGGACGGAAGUCUGACCGAGCAACGCCGCGUGAGUGAAGAAGGUUUUCGGAUCGUAAAGCUCUGUUAUAAGAGAAGAACGAGUGUGAGAAGUGGAAAAGUUCAC
rnacentral:rRNA from 1 species